CGACAAUUGAAACCGGAAGUUCCCAUGAUGCUAGUGUCCAGAGCGGAGGAGAUGCGCAGUGUAUCGCAGGAAAUAGCAUAGUUACACUUGAACCUAAAAUACAGAGUGUGGAGGAGGCAGGAGGAGAUGAGCUCCAAAAUACCUCGCAAAGGUAAAGAACCCGUAAACCAUGAUAUGUGAUGAUGAUGAUGAUCAGUAAUUAAUUAAUUAAUUGUCUUUCGUUAAAAAAAAGAAAAGCCCUACGAGUGAGAGAGAGAGAGAGAAAGGUGGGGAGGGAGGACGACAGAGCGUGAGAAAAGAAAGAAAGAAAAGAGUAUAGAGAUGUAUGUAAAUGAAUUCAUUGAUAACUUGAUGAUGAUAGUGGUGGUGGCGGCGGUGAUGAUGAUGAUGGUGGUGGUGGUGGAGACGGUGGAGGGACGAAAACAAAUGACCAUCACCCACUAAACCACGUCUCUAGCAAUCUCCCCCCACCCUCCCCUCCUCAUUACGGUCACAAAGUGUGUGAGAAAGAAAAAAGAAAAGAAAAGGAAGAAAUAGUAAUAAGCUUUAAAGGUUUGCUGUGUGUGAGAGUUUUUGGUUUGGGAGAAUCUCUAAUUUAUUAUCAUUAUCAUCAUCAUUAUUAUUAUCAUCAUUAUUAUUAUUAUUAUCAUUAUCAUUAAUGUUCGUUCCUCUAGCUUUGUUCUUUCUCUCUUUCUUUCUUUCUUUCUCCCCCCCCUCUCUGCUUUGUAUUGUAAUUCCCCCCCCUCCUCCACUUCACUUCACUUCUUUUUUUUCUUAAAACAUUUGUGAUUUCUACGUUUGAAAAUGUUAAUUCUUUAACCGUCUCUUAGUACACACGUCUACAUAUAUAUAUGCGUGUAUACACCAAUAUAUUGGUGCAUGUGUGUAUAUACAUAUAUAUAUAUAUAUAUAUGUACACACGUAUAUACAUGUCUGUGAAUGUAUAUGUACACGUGUGUGUGUAUAUAUAUAUACAUACAUAUGAAAAACUAUGCAAAUGUCUAUAUAUAUAUAAAUAGUAUGUAUAUUGUGUGUAUAUAUAUAUAUAUAAAUAGUAUGUAUAUAUAUAUAUAUAGAGAGAGAGAGACAUAUAUGUCUAUAUAUAUAUAAAUAGUAUGUAUAUUAUGUAUGUAUAUAUAUAUAUGAAGCUUUUUCACCUUAGAGUAAUUCGUACCUCAUUGAAGAAAUAAGGGUGAAAACAAAACCAGGAAUAUCUGUUUCUGAAAAUAAAGACAAACGAACAAUUAAAGGAAAGAAACAAAAAAUAAAACCCCAGCCUUUUCUCUGAUCAGUUUUACGGUGGUUCUCGGUGUUAAAAUUAAACAUAGCAGCCAAUUUCCCCUCAAAUUUACAUACAGCACUCUUAAACGAAGGCAACUGUCUUAAAAUGGAAUCAUUGUCCGAUUGACUCUGUUGGUUUUCGGGUGUUUUUGGGUGCACUGUCUAGGGUCCAGACCAAAAAUACAUCCACCCUAAAUACAGGGUAACAAAAGAAAAAAGGGGCAAAAAAAAAAAAAGCCACUGGAUGGUCGUAGAUGGAAUGUGUUUAAAUCAUAGUAGAUCCCUAAUCAGGGGCUGACCUAGAAGUCCUGCAUAUACACGAAUAGUUUGUAAUAAACUACAGAUUAAACCCCUUAUUGUACCCCGAGCAGUUUCCCGUCUCCCCGCUUAGUACGGGGUGUUGUUUUUCCAUUUUAGUACAUCUCGUUAGCAACGGAAGAAACCUUAAAUUGAAUUCAAAUGAAUUAAGAAGACAGAAACCGUUGGAAGUGAAUCUAAGAAAGGAACGGAUUUAUAAUAAAAGGAAAAUAUCUUUCCUUUUCGUUACAAAGAAGAAAUUGUGACAGUAUUAAAUGUCCAUUUAUUAAAAUUAUAUUUUGUUUUGUUGUUGUUAAUAAAGUAACUGUAACCGUCUCUAUUUUUCUUUUUUUCAUACAUUGCAAGGCUGUAUGGACAUGUAUAAAACACGCGUUUAUAUACGUGUGUAUAUAUAUAUUGUGUUAAAUAAAUGUAGAAUUUGUGUUUAUGUCUCCAUGCAUGUUUAUACCUAUGUAUAUGUGUGCAUAUAUAUAUAGAUAGAUAUACACACUCAUGUAUUUAUGUAUAGUGUGUGUAUAUAUAUAUUUAUGUUUCUGCCAGUACACACAUUUUCUAAGCUGGCAUGGGUUGUGUGUGUGUAUAUAUAAUAUGUAUAUUGUAUGUGUAUAUAUAAACAGUAUGUAUAUUGUGUAUGUAUAUUGUAUGUGUAUAUAUAAACAGUAUGUAUAUUGUGUAUGUAUAUAUAGUAUGUAUAUUGUAUGUGUAUAUAUAAACAGUAUGUAUAUAUAGUAUGUGUAUUGUAUGUGUAUAUAUAAACAGUAUGUAUAUUGUGUGUGUAUGUAUAUUGUAUGUGUAUAUAUAAACAGUAGGUAUAUUGUGUGUGUAUGUAUAUGUAUAUUGUAUGUAUAUAUAGUCUGCAUAUUGUGUGUGUGUAUAUAUAUAUAUUGUGUAUAUAUAUAUAUAUAUAUAGUAUGUAUAUAUAUAUAUAGUAUGUAUAUAUAUAUAUAGUAUGUAUAUUGUAUGUGUAUAUAUAAACAGUAGGUAUAUUGUGUAUGUAUAUGUAUAUAUAGUAUGUAUAUUGUAUGUAUAUAUAGUAUGUAUAUUGUGUGUAUAUAUAUAUAGUAUGUAUAUUGUGUGUAUAUAUAUAUAGUAUGUAUAUUGUGUGUAUAUAUAUAUAGUAUGUAUAUUGUGUGUAUAUAUAUAUAGUAUGUAUAUUGUGUGUAUAUAUAUAUAGUAUGUAUAUUGUAUAUAUAUAUAUAUAUAUAGUAUGUAUAUUGUGUAUAUAUAUAUAUAUAGUAUGUAUAUUGUGUGUAUAUAUAUUUAAUAGUAUGUAUAUUGUGUAUAGAUAUAUAUAUAGUAUGUAUAUUGUGUAUAUAUAUAUAGUAUGUAUAUUGUAUGUGUGUGUAUAUAUAUAUAUACAGUGAUGUAGGCCAUUAAUUCACACUGACUGUUGACAUCACCCCUCUCACAUUCAAAUUUUAAAUAUUUCUAAUAAUCAUUUUAUUGGUCACCUAUUUUCAUUAUUGCUGAAAGGACGCUUUAUCACUGGAUUACCAGCAUUACACACACUCACAUCCAUUCCUACACUGUACAUUAUUAUAUAUACAUAUAUAUAUAUAUAUACAGUAUAUAUAUAUCAGUUGUGGUGGCCAUCAUCCUUUCUUCUUUCAUAUAUGUGUGUAUAUAUAUAUAUAUAUAUAUAUAUAUAUAUAUGUGUGUGUUGUGUGUAGGUACUGAUUCGUAAUGUUACAGCUGUUGAACACCUUGAGGCAAACUAAGAACCUCUACAAGACCAUUAUUCUUGUUGUUACCAUCACUAAUGCCCUUAUCCUUGCUGUUGUGUUUCUCCAAUUAGCCCUGGCACUCCAGGCGAGGAAAAAACGGACGAAGGCGAAAGCAAGAUUCAAAGAAGAAAAGAAACGCUCGUGAGUGUUCCACUUUCUUUUUUUCCUUUUUUCUUUUUCCUUUUCCUUGUUCUCUCAUUCCUUUAAUUUCUUGCCAUUUCCAGCUUUUUAAUCUUUUUUCCGAUCCCCCCCCCAUUUCUUGUAUCUCUUUCUUUCUUUUUUCCUUUUCUCUACCGGAAUAUAGUCGUUGUUUGUUUCUUUUCUAUUUUUUUUUUUUUUCCCCCGUUUGUGUUUUGGAAAAUAUUUAAAAAAACAUUAGUUUUGAUUUUGUGUUUUUUUGUCUCUGUUCUUCUGUUGCUUUUUUUUCUGUCUUUCUUUUGCGUUGCUGUUUUGAGGGGUAAAACGGGUUCGAAACCGUAUCUGUUAUAUCUACGUUGGUUAUCCUGAACUUAACAUGUGAAACGGCGUGUCACCGUGAGGAGCGGGGCCAGCCUCUGUCUCCCCUUGUACUUCGGAUGGGGGCAGUGGCGGCUCGUUUCUUGCUUAUCUUACCUUAAAAGUUAGGGGCCAUAUUUCACACACACACACAGUACUUUACUAUCCAGGGUAGACGCUCACAUUCAUUAGGUAUUGUAAAUAGGGGCCGGUUAUACUGUACCGAGGGGGUAAAAACGACUUGAUUGGAUUGGCACGGUUGGAACUGUUUUGAUCAUUGGGCUUGAUGGUGAGGAGCCGACUUGAGGACUAAGCUAUGACAAAAUGUAAACCGGUCUGUCUUGUAUUUGAAAUGUCGGUGAAUCUUGCCUCUCUUUCAAACCAAACGCACCUUGAAAAGAAAACUGGAUUUUACACCACAACGGAAGAAAAAGAGCGGGACAGUCAUUACUGGAACGCCGUGGAUGAUAAAUAGGUUUAUCUGCUCAAUCGAUAAUAGACCUGUGGCUAAAUAGUGAAAACAUGUCGAACCAAGCCUCUACACGCUCGAUCGGUCCAGCCCGCUAAAAAAAAAAAAGCCAGAUUUCAAAUCUCACAUUGAAUAGUGUUUCGUUUUAAUGAAUAGAAAGUGUGUAAUUGGAUCAUCCAAUCCUAGAUACUGUAUCUGAAUAAAAUGAUGGGCUGGUCAAGGAUGGGACGCCUUUGAUUAUUGCUCUGCUCGUUUUGUUGACCCUGGGCUAUGCAUCAACACGUGAAUCACCUCUAUUCGUCAUCAUCAUCUGACUGACUAUACACACAUGUGUGAAUAUGUAUGUAUGCAUAUAUAAGUAUAUAAAUAUAUAUAAAAGAGAGUAAGAGAGAGAGAGAGAGAGAGGUGAACAGUCGGUUAAUGCAUUUCGUUGAAGCUAACCCCCACCACUCGACUCCAGAAACUACCUAAUUUGUCAAUUGCCCUCUUCCAUUUUUUCGCACCCAUUUGAUAUUAAUUAUGAAUGAAUAUAUGAGCCAGGCAUUUAAUAUACUUUGUCUCUCGUCAACAUCAUCAUCAUUGACAUCACCUUUACAAUCAUUGCUUUAACACUUCUAUUUGGUGAUGCCUUAGCGACUAUAAAUUCUAAUAACGGUGUGUAUUUAGUAAGUAAUUCACACACGUGUGUACAUAUGAUAUACAUACGUAGAUGUAUCUAAUCUGUGUCCAUGCCUGCCCGAUUGAAAACUUAUGUGAUCUAGUUCAAUCUUUUUGUAUUAAGUUCUCUUUUCGUAUCUUUUUUUUUGUUUCUAAUAAACUUCUGUGGAAUUAUUACUUAUAGAAAGGACUCGAGAAAAUAUAUAAAGCAUGAAUAUAACUAGAUAGGACGAAGUAGACCAUAGUCCUGUUUGCAAUCGAGUGAAUAUGAUUUUCUGCAUAAUAUAAAACACAUACACACACACCCAUAUAUACAUACAUUUAUAUAUAUAUACUCACACACUAUUUUUGUGAAUAUACUUCUAUCUUACAACCAUCCAUGUGUUAUAAAUAACCGUUUUUUUCUUUCUGGUUACACGAAACUCUAGAUCUUGGAGUUAAUUUACAGUCGAAUUAUCUAAAUAAUUGGAGCUCUAACCCUAACCUAUCCCUUAAUUUACUCCCUAUUAUGUUUUCAUCUCCAUUAUUCCCCAGUUUAUAUAUCUUUGUUGUGAACUAGAUCUUCACCAUUUACACGUUCUCAGGACUUUUACUUUCGACUCUUCCCCUGUUCGUCCUCAAUAAAACCUGAAGCUAAUUAAUUAAAUUUUUUUUUUUGCUAAUGUCUUAUCGUCAGUCCGUCACCCAAGAUACAAACCAUGUGUACUUUUCACACAUUUAUUACUGUUUGAAAAGAAAGCAUUAUUACAAUUUGUUCGUUUGUAUUAAUUAACUGAAAAUGAGGUUUCCAUCCCUCACCUGAUUAUAUAUAUAUAUAUAUAUAUAUAUAUAUAUAUAUAUAUAUACACACAUACAUAUAGAUAGAUAAAACUCACUUGGAAGAGGAUGCGUGGCGUUCAAUCAUAUAAUAUAAAUAAUAUAUGCAUAUAUACAUACAUACAUGCUUUCAUCUAUACGUAUAUGCAUAUAUAAGUACAUGUACGUAUUUCUAUAUGCAUAUAUAUAUAUAAUUUUUACUUAUAUAUGUAUUAUUUUAGAUACAUAUAUACACACACACAUACAUACAUGCAUGCAUACGCCCACGUAUAUAUACAUGCAUUCACAUAUUAGCCAUCUAUACACAGGUAUAUACAUCAUGUGUAUGACUUACAAAGAGUUUCUGAAGAUUGGUGCGUUGAAGUGAAGUUCUAUAUACUUUAUAAAUAUUAUAGGCUUCUGUCAUUGGGCUACGGCCAUGCUGGGGCAGUGUCUUGAAGGGUUUAGUCGAAAAGAUCGACCCCAGUACCUAUUUUUUUUUUCUUUUUCAAUCUGGCACGCAUUCUGUCGAAUACUUUUUGCCGAACCGCUACUAUUUCUGUCUGUGUUUUUUGCUACUGUUUAGCUGGGCAGGGAAGGGCAGUGACCGCAUCUCUUUCAUUUUAUUUUCAAAGCCUCCUUGACUGGGAGGGAGGAAAGUAGGAAGUUAUUCUCAGAUCUGAAACCAAAUCGCCCCCCUCCCCCACAAUCCGGAAUGCUUGAAAGAAUAAGUUAAACGUUCCAAUUAACGAGCAGUUAAUUACAUUUUUGGAUGACGAAAUGUUUAAAUUAGUCCGCUCUCCCAAAGCGUGUGUAUCACCAUCUACCGUUCACUCUCCUAGAGCUGAUAAAACCGGAGAGCUGCCCUUCCUAACACCAACCACCCCCGGGAGUGUAAUGAGUGCUUUUACGUGCCACCUGUACAGGUAUUAUUUACAUGGCACUGGCAACGACUACGAUGCACGGGUGCUAUAUAUAUAUAUAUAUAUGUGUGGUUGAUUUCUUAAGAAUUUAGAAACUUCGAGUGAGCGUAAAAUAAUUAUUUUUCUAUCCGAUGGGUUUUUAAUACAAUAUUUACACGAUAUUGUUUAUAGCUUUAUCUGCUUCGAGUUUUACCGUUCCAAAAAAAAAAAAGAUAAUGUCUUUUGUGUUUAAUUAUAACACAGACUUUCAAAUAUUAUUGAAAAAGUAUUCAAUGCAUAGAUGUUGAGUAUAAAAUAUAUUUCCACCGCC
rnacentral:lncRNA from 1 species